UACCCACUCACUCAAGUAUACGAAAAUCACAAACGGAAACCUAACGACAUUCACAUUUCACCUCCUCCGCCGCACCGGCUAACAAACCCGCCGCAAUGAACUCCCCAUUCACAGAAACAACACUGGACGAAAACGACGCAUCAAACGAAGUACCGAAAGGCAAGAAAAAAGGCAAACACGAUAAACCAAAACCCUGGGACGACGACCCCAACAUCGACCACUGGAAGGUCGAGAAAUUCGAUCCAUCAUGGAACGAAGGUGGAAUGCUCGAAGUAAGUUCCUUCUCCACUCUCUUCCCUCAAUAUCGCGAAAAGUAUCUCCAAGAAGCUUGGCCACUCGUUAAAGCUUCCCUCAAAGAAUUCGCUAUCUCUGCUGAACUCAACUUGGUUGAAGGUUCGAUGACGGUUUCGACUACCAGAAAGACUAAGGAUCCUUAUAUUAUUGUUAAAGCUAGAGAUCUUAUCAGGCUUUUAUCUCGGAGUGUUCCUGCUCCUCAGGCAAUAAAAAUACUCGACGAUGAAAUGCAAUGUGACAUCAUUAAAAUUAGCGGGAUGGUUCGCAAUAAGGAGCGGUUCGUAAAAAGAAGACAACAUCUUGUGGGUCCCAAUUCUUCUACUCUGAAGGCUCUUGAAAUACUCUCGGGCUGUUACAUUCUCGUCCAGGGAAACACUGUUUCUGUGAUGGGUUCUUACAAAGGUUUGAAGCAAGUCAGAAGGAUUGUUGAGGAAUGCAUGCUGAAUAAAAUGCACCCUGUCUACAACAUUAAGAUUCUUAUGAUGAAGAAGGAACUUGAAAAAGAUCCAGCACUUGCCCAAGAGAACUGGGAUAGGUUUCUUCCAAAGUUUAACAAGAAAAAUGUAAAGCAAAAGAAGGUUAGCUCUAAACAGAAGAAGCCGUAUACACCUUUCCCUCCUCCUCAACCGCCUAGUAAGGUUGAUAUAGAAAUAGAAACCGGAGAAUACUUUAUAAGUGACAAAAAGAAAUCAAAAAAGAAAUGGCAAGAGAGGCAGGAGAAGCAGGCUGAAAAAACCGCUGAAAACAAAAGAAAACGAGAAGAAUCCUUUAUCCCUCCCAAGGAAUCUGCAAAACCGGUGGAUAACUCUGAGGAUGCUAAUAAUAACGUAACUGAAAUGGCAAUGUCCUUAAAGGAAAAAACAAAGAAGUUUGGGAAGCGCAGAUCUGAAGAAAAUAUAAAUGCGGAGACAUAUAUUAUUGGGUCAUCAGAACAGCCAUCAAAAAAGAAAUCUAAGCAACAAAGGUCUUAGCACGAUCUUCAUUCUAGAGAUGGAAGAUGCAUGUGUGAUCUAAUGGCUGUAACAUUUUACAAGAAAACCACAGGAUGACUUUCAGACAAGCUAUCCCCUCUAAUCCAACCUGUUUCCAUUCCUCUGGUUUAAUAUAUGCUUUAAAUUGCGCAUGAGGUUAUAUUGACUAAUCUUGAUAUUAUAGAUACUUGUGAUCAAAUGAAAACAAAAGCAUUAUUUGUAACAAGCUACAUAUGUUAUUAAUUUUAGGAAUUCGUAAGUGAGACAUCUUAUUUUACUAAAAAAAAUUGUUUGAAAAGGCAUCUUUGAAAUGUAAACCUUUUUUUCUUC